rfam:Oryza sativa (indica cultivar-group) chromosome 3, whole genome shotgun sequence.
AAAAAAGGUAAACAUUGGUUUCCGUGUCCAACUUUGACUGUCCGUCUUAUAUGAAAUUUUUUUAUAAUUCAUAUUUUCAUUGUUGUUAGAUGAUAAAACACAAUUAAUAUUUUAUGCGUGACUUAUCUUUUUAAUUUUUUUCAUAAUUUUUUCAAAUAAGACGGACGGUCAAAUGUUGGGCACGGAAACCAGGGUUUGUCUUUUU